GAUGAACGCUGGCGGCGUGCUUAACACAUGCAAGUCGAACGGAGUGCCUUUGAAAGAGGAUUCGUCCAAUUGAUAAGGUUACUUAGUGGCGGACGGGUGAGUAACGCGUGAGGAACCUGCCUUGGAGUGGGGAAUAACACAGUGAAAAUUGUGCUAAUACCGCAUAAUGCAGUUGGGUCGCAUGACUCUGACUGCCAAAGAUUUAUCGCUGAAAGAUGGCCUCGCGUCUGAUUAGCUAGUUGGCGGGGUAACGGCCCACCAAGGCGACGAUCAGUAGCCGGACUGAGAGGUUGAACGGCCACAUUGGGACUGAGAUACGGCCCAGACUCCUACGGGAGGCAGCAGUGGGGAAUAUUAGGCAAUGGGGGAAACCCUGACCUAGCAACGCCGCGUGAAGGAAGAAGGC
rnacentral:rRNA from 1 species